GACGAACGCUGGCGGCGUGCCUAACACAUGCAAGUCAACUUGACUGAAGGAGCAAUCUGACAGUAGAGUGGCGCAAGGGUGCGUAACGCGUAAGUAACUUGCCCAAGGUAAGGAAUAACGUCGAGAAAUCGGCGCUAAUACCUCAUAAUGCAGCGGAUCCGCAUGGAUAUGUUGUUAAGGUUACCGCCUUGGAUAGGCUUGCGUCUGAUUAGUUAGUUGGUGUGGUAACGGCACACCAAGGCUACGAUCAGUAACUGGUCUGAGAGGAUGAUCAGUCACACUGGAACUGAGACACGGUCCAGACUCCUACGGGAGGCAGCAGUGAGGAAUAUUGGGCAAUGCUCGAAAGAGU
rnacentral:rRNA from 1 species